CGAGGAGCCGCUCGCUGCAGCCUGUAGGAAGGCGGAGUUGGACAUCCAACCCCGCCCACAUCCAACUCCGCCCAUGUCCAACUCCGCCUUACGUCUAAAGCAACACCCACCUUACGUCCGUCACGAACGCCUACAUUUACUCCCGGUAAACAGGAAUUGUAGCCGAGAAAGCAGCUAAAGCAUCUAUCUGAUUUAUAUCUCCGGUUAUGGCGCAUCCAACACAUGUCCAGGCCACUCCUGACCCUUCACGGUUUGGCCAGUGUGGUGUUUUCAAAUGCCCCUGCUUCAGUUUUGACACUGACCAGCGAUUUAAUAACAGCCUACAUCUACAAAACCAUAUCAAACAAGCAGUCGAGAAUAACGGAAAGUUCAGCGUGUUGAACGUGUGACUGAUGAAGGAGAUAGAAUGGGCAACGUCUCCUUUGAACAGGUGUGAGGGUGUGGAUGUGUGUUUUUUAUUUCGGGUUAAUUUAACUGGGCCAUUUAAAAUGUUUUACUGUUGUGGUUUGUUUUCAAAAGUCUGAAUUGGGCUGAAAAGAUAAGUUGACAUUAUUUGAAAUUUCAACUUGACCUAGUGUUGACUAGUCAUUUCAAGGGCAUUUGAAGCCCAUAAGCUAUUGGAGAGCUAUCAUUUUAAAGGGAUAGAAAAGAAGAGAGCUGUUUUGUUACGUUAAGGCAGAGAUUAGUCAACAGAAUGACGCUGACUACAGUCUUCAGGCAAAAAUGCUAGCCAUUCCUACAGUAAUUAGAGAUUGGGGAUAUGAUUGAAAUAAUAAGUGCCAACUCAGAUUAAUAGAAUACCAAAAUAGUAAUUGGUUGCAGCCUUAGAAUGUUAUCUGGUCAUUUUUUUCAAUUACUAUAAUUUUCAUGAAUCAAAAUCUACAUGCUUCUAUAAUGUUUUUCACAGAUGCCCCUUAUUCUCAUAGAUACAGUUCUGGAAGAGGGUGACAAAGCUUUUUUAAAGCUGUCACUGGUUUGUCGUCUCUUCCGGGACAUUGUUUGGACAACAAUCAUUCCGGGCCUGGGCACAUUUCGAGUGGCUUGACAGUGUAGUGCCAUGAAAACAUCACAGUGCUGCAUGUAAAGACGAGUUUCGCAGGAUGUACGAACUGCAGUGCUGCCAGAACUGUCAAGAAACUUAUAAAGACUACAUACUGGGUAUGUUUGUUCUAAAUAAAUUUUGAUAAUUUUUUCCUGAGGUCAGAAAUUGGUAAGUCAAUAUAUUUAAGGUAUUGGGGCUUGAGAGAUUGUUACUUUGUGAAAGUGUGUGCUUUUACUUAUAUUA